GAAAUGCGAUAAGUAGUGUGAAUUGCAGAAUUCAGUGAAUCAUCGAAUCUUUGAACGCACAUUGCGCCCCUUGGUAUUCCAUGGGGCAUGCCUGUUCGAGCGUCAUCUACACCCUCAAGCUCUGCUUGGUGUUGGGCGUCUGUCCCGCCCCGCGCGUGGACUCGCCCCAAAUCCAUUGGCAGCGUUCCUUGCCCCCUCUCGCGCAGCACAUUGCGCUUCUCGAGGGCGGCUCCGGGACGCGAUCCAGCAAGAUGACCACCGUCUUUGACCUCGGAUCAGGUAGGGAUACCCGCUGAACUUAAGC
rnacentral:misc_RNA from 1 species